rnacentral:tRNA from 1 species
UGCCGGGUCGUCUAACGGUAGGACAUUAGCCUUUGAAGCUAAGUAUCUUGGUUCGAUCCCAAGCCCGGCAG